UCUACGGGUGGCAGCAGUGAGGAAUAUUGGUCAAUGGACGAGAGUCUGAACCAGCCAAGUCGCGUGAAGGAUGACUGCCCUAUGGGUUGUAAACUUCUUUUAUAUGGGAAUAAAAUGUUCCACGUGUGGGCUUUUGUAUGUCCCCUAUGAUUAAAGAUCGGCUAACUCCGUGCCAGAAGCCGCGGUAAUACGGAGGAUGCGAGCGUUAUCCGGCUUUAUUGGGGUGAAAGGGUGCGUAGGCGGAUCGUGAAGUCAGUGGUCCAAUUGCGGGGCUCAACCCCUUCCCGCCAUUGAUACUGGCGUUCUUGAGUGGAAGAGAAGUAAGCGGAAUGCGUGGUGUAGCGGUGAAAUGCAUAGAUAUCACGCAGAACCCCGAUUGCGAAGGCAGCAUGCCGGCUUCCGACUGACGCUGAAGCACGAAAGCGUGGGGAGCGAACAGGAUUAGAUACCCGAGUAGUC
rnacentral:rRNA from 1 species